GACGAACGCUGGCGGCGUGCUUAACACAUGCAAGUCGAACGGAAAGGCCCUGCUUUUGUGGGGUGCUCGAGUGGCGAACGGGUGCGUAACACGUGAGUAACCUGCCCUUGACUUUGGUAUAACUUCAGGAAACUGGGGCUAAUACCGGAUAGGAGCUCCUGCUGCAUGGUGGGGGUUGGAAAGUUUCGGCGGUUGGGGAUGGACUCGCGGCUUAUCGGCUUGUUGGUGGGGUAGUGGCUUACCAAGGCUUUGACAGGUAGCCGGCCUGAGAGGGGGAACGGCCACAUUGGGACUGAGAUACGGCCCAGACUCCUACGGGAGGCAGCAGUGGGGAAUAUUGCACAAUGGGCGGAAGCCUGAUGCAGCAACGCCGCGUGCGGGAUGACGGCCUUCGGGUUGUAAACCGCUUUCGCCUGUGACGAAGCGUGAGUGACGGUAAUGGGUAAAGAAGCACCGGCUAACUACGUG
rnacentral:rRNA from 1 species